rnacentral:rRNA from 1 species
UACGAAGGGUGCAAGCGUUACUCGGAAUUACUGGGCGUAAAGCGUGCGUAGGCGGUUUGUUAAGUCCGUUGUGAAAGCCCUGGGCUCAACCUGGGAAUUGCAGUGGAUACUGGCGAGCUAGAGUGCGGUAGAGGAUGGUGGAAUUCCCGGUGUAGCGGUGAAAUGCGUAGAGAUCGGGAGGAACACCGGUGGCGAAAGCGGCGCGCUGGACCUUUACUGACGCUGAGGCGCGAAAGCCAGGGGAGCAAACGGG